rnacentral:rRNA from 1 species
CGGAUGAACGCUAGCGGAGGCUUAACACAUGCAAGUCGAGGGGCAGCAUAGGGUAGCAAUACUCUGAUGGCGACCGGCAGACGGGUGAGUAACGCGUAUGUAACCUACCCUGUACAGGGGGAUAACCCGGAGAAAUUCGGACUAAUAUCCCAUGGAAAUAUUGAGAGGCAUCUUUUGAUAUUUAAAGUUCCGGCGGUACGGGAUGGGCAUGCGUAACAUUAGCUAGUUGGUAAGGUAACGGCUUACCAAGGCUUUGAUGUUUAGGGGUCCUGAGAGGGUGAUCCCCCACACUGGUACUGAGACACGGACCAGACUCCUACGGGAGGCAGCAGUGAGGAAUAUUGGUCAAUGGGCGCAAGCCUGAACCAGCCAUCCCGCGUGCAGGAAGACGGCGCUAUGCGUUGUAAACUGCUUUUCCAGGGGGAGAAACUUGCGUACGUGAUACGCAAUUGACGGUACCCUGGGAAUAAGCAUCGGCUAACUCCGUG